AACGAACGCUGGCGGCAGGCUUAACACAUGCAAGUCGAACGGGUGUAGCAAUACAUCAGUGGCAGACGGGUGAGUAACACGUGGGAACCUUCCUAGGGGUGCGGAACAACUCAGGGAAACUUGAUCUAAUACCGUAUACGUCCGUGAGGAGAAAGAGUUCUCGCCCUUAGACGGGCCCGCGUCGGAUUAGCUAGUUGGUGGGGUAACGGCCUACCAAGGCGACGAUCCGUAGCUGAUCUUAGAGGAUGAUCAGCCACACUGGGACUGAGACACGGCCCAGACUCCUACGGGAGGCAGCAGUGGGGAAUCUUGGACAAUGGGCGCAAGCCUGAUCCAGCCAUGCCGCGUGAGUGAAGAAGGUCUUCGGAUUGUAAAGCUCUUUUGCCAGGGACGAUAAUGACGGUACCUGGAGAAUAAGCCCCGGCAAACUUCGUGCCAGCAGCCGCGGUAA
rnacentral:rRNA from 1 species